rnacentral:rRNA from 1 species
AGUUGAUCAUGGCUACAGAACGAACGCUGGCGGCAUGCCUAACACAUGCAAGUCGAACGAGACCUUCGGGUCUAGUGGCGCACGGGUGCGUAACGCGUGGGAACCUGCCUUUAGGUUCGGAAUAACUCAGAGAAAUUUGAGCUAAUACCGGAUGAUGUCUUCGGACCAAAGAUUUAUCGCCUUUAGAUGGGCCCGCGUAAGAUUAGCUAGUUGGUGGGGUAAAGGCCUACCAAGGCGACGAUCUUUAGCUGGUCUGAGAGGAUGAUCAGCCACACUGGGACUGAGACACGGCCCAGACUCCUACGGGAGGCAGCAGUGGGGAAUAUUGGACAAUGGGCGAAAGCCUGAUCCAGCAAUGCCGCGUGAGUGAUGAAGGCCUUAGGGUUGUAAAGCUCUUUUACCCGAGAUGAUAAUGACAGUAUCGGGAGAAUAAGCUCCGGCUAACUCCGUG